rnacentral:sRNA from 1 species
AGAGGAGGCGUCUAUGUGCCAACGGCACAUUUGAAAUGACGCCGACGACAUGUCGCAGAACGUAUGUGAUGCGACGUUACCAG